CUGCCAUAAAAAGGAAUGUGUGGCCAGUGAGGUUGGUGAGGGAACUCCAGUCUGCACUGGAAGAGAGGUCUCCACUGGAAUGCCACCCGGCUGCGUCCUCGAGGCAGACCUGAUACCAAGCUGGAGUGGGCCCCGCUGGGAGCAGCAGAGUGACCCAACGGCCCUCUACAUGGCUGAACUCAAGUCCCCCGUGUGGGCUGGAAAGCGCACUGUGCACAAGUAGGAGCUGCCUUCGCUAGGCAGCACCCAUGGAAAGCUCUGAGGCUCUCGGUGGCCCCCAUAAGCACCAUCGGCCUUGAGUCUCCAGGCCCAGGUUAAGACACUAAGAAGGCCCUCCUGCCGGUGGAGUCCAGUUUGAACAGACCAGAUGACCCCUGGAAGAGGGGAGCUGCUCGGCACAACAGGAGAAACCCAGCCACACGGGCUUGCAUCCGCGUCCCCCGCCUCCUCAGCAGCACUGGGUGUGGCUGCAUUUCCCGCCCCGGCUCCCGGGGUCGCGGGGUCGCCCCCUCCUCCGCGGUGUGCGUGUCCUCUCCGUGUGUGCUCGCCGCUGAGCUUCAUCGUCCCGGUGCAGGCCCCGAGGGGGACAUUGUCCCCUCCACCUCGUCUCGGGUCCUUCUCCGGGCAGUGUUCUCAACUGUCAGGACUUCCAGCUGGUCCAGCUCUCCUUUCAGGGCUUGUGCGGGACAGGCUGUCUGGCCCACGAGCCCCAGGAUGUCUUCUUCUUUCUCCUGCAAGUUUUAUGGUUUUAAGUUUGUGUGUGAAUCCGUGAGCCAUUCUGAGUUCAUUUUUGUAGAAAAUAUGAUACUUCGAACAAAGGUUCCGAUUUUUUGGCCUGUAGAAGCCAGAGCCUGAAUUUCCCCAACCUCCCCUCCAAUGAUACAUACUUUAUCCACUUCUAUUCAUUAUUCAAAUAUUUGCUGCUGCCCACUGGGUGCCCAGUGCCAUGGGGUCCUGGGGCCCACAGGUGAGUGUGUGAGACCCCCAGCUGCCCUCCAGAGCCCACUGUCGGGCCUCAACUGGCCACAGCCUGACCCUCCCAGAUGCAGCCUCGGGACAGAGUGGGGGUAUCCACGUCAGGCCCCAGAGCGGCCAAGGGGAGCGAGCCACCCGGGGGCUGUCCCUCUGGACCUCAUCCUGCUGGCCCCUUCUGCCCCGCGCCCCUGGCACCACCCUGGGGAACGCGACGGGGCAGGAACAAUCGCCCGGCUUGUAGUCUCAGGCGGACACAAGCCCGCUUUCACAAGCCCACAGCCCCGGGUUUGUGCCGCCUGGC
rnacentral:lncRNA from 1 species